rnacentral:lncRNA from 1 species
UGGACGUUUGAUGAUGAUGAUGCAUGAAUGUAAAGUUGACGCAAUGAUAUAUGGUCACAUAACAUUGCUUGAGUUUUUAUUGAUGUAAAACAGGCCGGUAUGUGAAUACAAGUAUAUAUUUGAUUUUGAAGUCGUGUAUCUCAUGAUCGUAAGAGGUAAUUAUAUAUAUAUAUGGAACCCAUUAAGUGGAAGUUACCUUUGAAAUCAAUCUCCACCGUCGGAUCAUACUGAGAUUAAAUCUCAGCCACUUAAACUCACCAAAAUAACUGCUACUCUAGCAGUUUAGGGCGGUUCAUUUAAGUUUUCAGCAACUCCACUUUUUUUGCACAGGUUCCGGUAAACCUCCAUGUCUCCUUUUUUUCCUCCCCACGUUGUUGCAGGGCGUUUUCAUUGACAGUGGUGGGUGGUUAUUGAAGUUAAAUGAUAGUAUUAAUGGUUUGCUUCACACAAUUGCCGUCGGCAAGCCUUUCUCCUCUACUCGUCGCCGCUGUUGUUUGAGUCUGACGCCAGCGCCGCCUCCGUUCUACACCCUUUCGUUGCUUAACACACACCGACGCCACAAAAUUUCUGAAAUUGAUCACAAGGUACGCAAUUCUUGAUUCAAAACAGUCAUUGGUAGCAUAAAUCACGAUUAGGGGACAUCUGAUAUACACCCUUCCUCCUCACGUCGCAGGUAGCCUUCAUACACCCUUCCCCUUGUACACAUCUGGUAUAUACACAGACACAUAACAUAGCUUUCAUCAAUGGCUAUCUAAACCUUCAUUCAAUCACAACCUGAUGUUUUACACCCCCACUUUCGUGCUCUUUCCUAAGUUGAUCGUCAGUCGCUUGCGGAAAUCCAUAUCGGCUUCGUCAAUCUUCUUGAUAAUACUAAUCAAGUGCGUUUAUGAAGGAGGUUGAAAUUUUUCAUAAAGAGAGGUGUUUGGAGUUUAAGCCUCCAAAGUUUCAUGGAGAUUUAAUUUCUGGUGCAAAAGAGGGGUGAAUUAGAGGGACGUGUAACUUCCCUAAUUAGGGAGGUUAAAGAGUCGGGCCUACAAUAGUGGGAGCUGGUGAAAUAGCAGAAGUUGCUUCGUUAUGGUCAGGAAUUCCAAUUCAGCAGUUGAUUGUUUAUGAAAGAAUGCUAUUGGUGGGACUUGAUGAACGGUUAAAAGAACGAGUUUGCGGUCAAGAUGAAGCUGUGGAUGUGAGUGUGUGCUGACACAUACGCGUGAGAGAUCACCAUAUUGUGCCUAAAAACGCAAAGGGAUGGAGUGUUCCAAGGUUUUAGUGGAAAUCCCAACGUGUUGCCGCAAACAGUGGUUUACAGUGUCAUCAUCUACUCCGUGAUCGGUCAACGUCAACCAAAGGCUGUUGUGGUGAACUUCUGAAACCCUAGGAACCGGAGCAAAGCAGGCAAUAUUGGCGUCAACCAAAGUUUUGUCGACGGAAGUAUUAUUUGUUAUUUGCAAUAGGAACCUUGUAGAUUUAAGUUGUCAUGUUUAAAUUAUAUUGAAGCCUUUUAAUUUAUUAAUUGCUGAAAGGGAUAGGUUAGAAUGUUUGAAACAAGUUGAAUUUCAAACAGUUUUUGUGGUUUUUUUCUGUUUUUCCUGCAAUUUUUAAGCAAAAAAUCUGAAUUUUCAGUUUUUUUUUUAAAUAUUAUGUCACAAAUGCAUUGCAACUUUUU